ensembl:miRNA cja-mir-9952c cja-mir-9952c
UGUCAAGUGAGUAUCAUUUUUGACUGCCAUUGUGAAUCAGGCCUCAGCUGUCAUGGACUCCAGCUACCAGUCACUGGAGCUUAUGACCAACUGAGACCUGAUUGAUGAUGUCGGUCCAAAGGUGACAUCACUGACA